rnacentral:rRNA from 1 species
UACGGAGGGGCUAGCGUUAUUCGGAAUUACUGGGCGUAAAGCGCACGUAGGCGGCUUUGUAAGUAAGAGGUGAAAGCCCGGAGCUCAACUCCGGAACUGCCUUUAGACUGCAUCGCUUGAAUCCAGGAGAGGUGAGUGGAAUUCCGAGUGUAGAGGUGAAAUUCGUAGAUAUUCGGAAGAACACCAGUGGCGAAGGCGGCUCACUGGACUGGUAUUGACGCUGAGGUGCGAAAGCGUGGGAG